AUACCUUUCUCGGCCUUUUGGCUAAGAUCAAGUGUAGUAUCUGUUUUUAUCAGUUUAAUAUCUGAUACGUGGGCCAUAGGUCCACACGAUAUUAAAUUAGUUUUUAAAAGGGGAAAAUUCACCGCAGUGGCUUGCUACUGGAAUCUUCAUGCGUCGCCAAAGCGUUACACUACUGUAAUGGCCUGGCGCGCUCUCC
rnacentral:snRNA from 1 species